CCUACGGGAGGCAGCAGUGGGGGAUAUUGCACAAUGGGGGGAAACCCUGAUGCAGCGACGCCGCGUGUGGGAAGACGGUCCUCUGGAUUGUAAACCACUGUCCCCAGGGACGAAGAUGACGGUACCUGGGGAGGAAGCUCCGGCUAACUACGUGCCAGCAGCCGCGGUAAUACGUAGGGAGCGAGCGUUGUCCGGAAUUACUGGGGGUAAAGGGAGCGUAGGCGGGACUGCAAGUUGGGUGUCAAAUCUACCGGCUCAACCGGUAGCCGCACUCAAAACUGCAGUUCUUGAGUGAAGUAGAGGCAGGCGGAAUUCCUAGUGUAGCGGUGAAAUGCGUAGAUAUUAGGAGGAACACCAGUGGCGAAGGCGGCCUGCUGGGCUUUUACUGACGCUGAGGCUCGAAAGUGUGGGGAGCAAACAGGAUUAGAUACCCUAGUAGUC
rnacentral:rRNA from 1 species